ensembl:lncRNA
CCUUUAGCGGUCAAAGCUGCCAGACAUCCUGUGUGUACACAAGGAGAAACCGGAGUAGGAGGCGAGCCGUGAGCAAACAAGGCCAAUCUGUAUUUGAUAACAGGCAUCGCUUAGAAACAACUGCUAGGCUCAGUCGUCUACAAACACAGUGAUUGCUCCAUAUUAAAGCCAUUGCUGCCAGACAGAGCUGGCAUUGAAUCCGUGUGGAGCCUCCGUGUGGGGGGAUGCACACCAGCUCUAUAUUGGACACAGGGGAGGAAAAGAGACAAGGUCUUACUAUGUAGUCUGGAACUCACUAUGUGAACAAAGCUAAGUUUGAACUCCCAGAACACUGCCUGCCUGCCUGCCCGCCCGCCUGCCCGCUGGGUUUUAAAUCAGAGGAGGUGCCACCCUGGGAGCACACCCUUUCCUUGGUUGCUGUUUGAGACUGGGACCCAGGUUCUAACCCUUCGCCAGAGCCAAUCUCCUAGCUUCUUCUCCUAGGGCCUGGCAGUGCAGUGCUGAGCUGGACACAUGGCCGGCUGAGACUCCACUCUGCUUGUCAGCAAUGCAGUUUCCCUGUGAGAGCAUUCCCAAGGUCUUUCACAUCCAUUAUCACUGCAAACCCAUGUUGUUGGCAGCCCUGUUGUUUUGUUCCCUCUUAUGAACAAGCAGGACACAGCCACUCAAGGUCAACAGCUAAGUUGGUGGCUGAUGCAACCCUCUGUCACGCCUCUGUGCUUUUGAAUGAGCUGUUUCUGACUCCAGGAUGUCAGCCUUCCUCCACCGGGCAGGUUCCUUCUGGACCUACACUACCUCUCCUCCUUCCUCCUUGGACUGAGUAUCAAGCCAGCUCAGCGAUUGGCCUCCUCGUGAAGCUUCCCUCUAGUCCUUCUUGGCUCCUGUUCCCUGAAAGGAGUUGCCUGCAGCACACUAUGGAACUAUAGCAGGAGGUCGUGAACUACUCGAAUUAACUCCCUGGAGUUAUCUCUUGCCGGGAAGGAAGGACUCGGGCAGGGUUUUCAGAGGGAAGUCUGGGAAUUUCUGUUGAUGUAUGUGAAUACAUUAUUUUGCUAAGCAAUGCCACGAGGCGGAGGCUAGAAGAUCAGGAGUUCAAAGCCAGCCUGAGCUACAUGAGACCUUGUCCGGAACAAUCCUACAGCUGAGAUCAUACUUAAUGGCAAACAGUGGCUGCCUAUUCCCCAAGAUUAGCGGCAAAGGUGUGAGCUCCAACUCUUCUCCGUCGCUGUAUGAGUGGCCCCAGACUGCGCAAUAAGAGACUGAGCUCAGCCCUGGAUGGCACGUCUCUAUUAACUCCGCCACCACUGGGACCUGGGGAAGAGGAGGAUGGAGAGGUGGAAUGCUGUUUUCUGGAUGUGAUGUGAGCACUGCAGUCAGCUCACGGCAUCUGAGGUGACCCACCUGCACAGUAUCAGACUAGCCAACGUCCCGGCACAGACAGCGGAGAUGACCUGCGAGCCCCACUCUUUCUUUCCUGAGGAGCUAUUGACCGAGGAAAUCACCUUUGGAAUAACGUCAAGUUUGAGAGGCUUACACUUGUGUUCCAUACUAUGCUGAAUGGUGUGGAAAACUCCGUGGUCACGCAAAGGAGUGGCUGGCACCUCUGUGUCCACAGACUGGCCAGUGGGUAGGUACUGUCCAGAAAAGGUCUCCUCUCUUCCUCCUGCUUUCGUCUUGGCUUUAGCUUCCGAGAGGCUGCAGGGCACGAGGCUCUGUGACCAAAGAGCCACCUGUGCCUCUGUUUCCCCACCUGCUGUGGCAGGGGGCCAGGCUAAUUGAACUGAUACUUCAGAGUGAGGAUUAAUAAUGACUGAGGUAGGGGGUGGAGCAAUGCCUCAGCCGUUAAGAGCAAUUGUUGCUCUUGCUGAGAACCGGUUCAGGUCCCAGUACCUACAUCCAGUGGCUCGGAACUGUCAGUUCCAGAGAAUCUUAAAUCCUCAUCUGGCCUUAACAGGCACAUGCAAGCGUGCUCUCUCUCUCUCUCUCUCUCUCUCUCUCUCUCUCUCUCUCUCUCUCCCCCCUCUCUCUCUUGCACACGGGUGCAAAUAAAUCUUUUUUUUUUUUUGGUUCUUUUUUUCAGAGCUGGGGACCGAACCCAGGGCCUUGCGCUUCCUAGGCAAGCGCUCUACCACUGAGCUAAAUCCCCAACCCCGCAAAUAAAUCUUUUAUAAAAAGGAACUUUUGUUUCAAACACAAGAGACUAGGUUGGGCUGUAAAGAAAGAUGUUAAGGGUGUUCUAAUCUUAAAAGAAAGGACUGACUGGGCACGGUGGUACAUGUCUUUAAUCCUAGCACUCAGGAGGCAGAGGCAGGCAGAUCUCUGAGUUCAAGGCCAGUCUGGUCUACAGAGCAAGUUUUAGGACAGCCAGGUGUGUGUGUGUGUGUGUGAGAGAGAGAGAGACAGAAAGACAGAGAGAGAGAAAGAGAGACAGAGACAGAGAGAGACAUAGAGAGAAAGAGACAGGGAGAGACAGAGACAGACAGAGAGACAGACACAGAGACACAGAGACACAGAGACAGUCAUGGGCCAAGGGUGUUAUAAGCACAAUGCUUAGGUCAGGGGGAACAGCUCAGGGAGAGUGUAUGACAGCAGAAGCCUAGAUGUGCUUUCCAGGUUGGAAUGAUUUUCCAGAAGUCGGAUAGCAGGUAUGCCUGGCUCUGGCAGCACUGCAUUUCCAGAUAUAAAGUUUCGAGUGGUCACAUGCAGGGAUUAACAAGCACCCUUUAAGCAGCUUUGUGGUAAGUAAAGGUCAGGUUGUGCUGCCAGA